GAUCACAGGAACAAUCCCAGUCUCUCUCUCAACACAACUUGUUGAAAAAAAUUUCACAGUUGAACCAGAGGAAGUGUAUUCUGUAACGGUGUAUGUGACAAAUAAUGAGAGUAUGGCAGGUCAGGAUGUCUCACAAGACUAUAUCAUACCUGCUGGUCCACCUCCAAUAGACAACAACAUAGAACUGAUAACAACUACACCUGGUGAACACAAUGCAUCACAACACACAAUCACAGUGGAAGUUAGCGUAGAUUUCUUCAAAAGUGAUUUAAAUGGAAAACAAGUUCUAUUUGGAAUUGCAGUGUGUGAAAAAUCUAAAUG